rnacentral:ncRNA from 2 species
CCUUCGCGACUUGUUUCAGGUGCUCUGUGACCCAGUGGUCGACCGAGUGAAACAGGGAAGCCGGUGAGGGCGCGUUCUUUGACAGAGCGGGCGACGAUCCCGGCGCUGCCCCCGCAACGGUAAAUGAGUAAAAACUGCGCUUUGAGCCACUGUGUCGAAAUGACAUGGGAAGGCGCGCAGUCAGGCGCAAGCCGCUCAUGAGUCCGGAGACCGGCCUGAUCCAUCCAGCGGCA